GACAUUAACAAGGACUAUAAAAUUGGUAGACUUCUGGGUCAAGGAGGAUUUGGAAAAGUGUAUGAAGGAAUGCGAUUGUCUGAUUCACGAAAGGUGGCACUCAAAUAUGUGUUCAAGACAGAAUGCUAUGAAAAUGAGCGACUUAGUCUAUUUGGCAAAUUGCUUCCAAAUGAGGUCGCUAUGAUGAUUCGUGUGAGCGAAGGCCCCAGCGUUCCCCAAAUAAUAAAGCUGCUGGACUGGUAUGAGACACGGAAUGACUACAUACUGGUCAUAGAGCGGCCCACGCCUUGCAAAGAUCUGCGGCAGUAUUUAGUGCAAAAUGGUGGCAGAAUCAGCGAGUCAAAAGCACGAGUUGUGAUGCAUCAAGUUGUUACUGCUGCAAGAAUAUGCUUUGAAAAGGGAAUCUACCACAGCGACAUCAAGCUAGAAAACCUGCUAAUCAAUGAGAACAGCUUGCAGGUCAAAUUAAUCGACUUCGGUGUUGGUAGAAGCUUCAAGACGUUUGGUUAUACAAGGUACAU